GAGAGGGAGAUGGGGAGGAGGAAGGGUGGAGUGAGCGGAGGUGUAGGAGGAGACUUGCUUCUCCGCUGAAUAGAAGCCUGAGUGCAGCUCCAGAACAGCUGUGCGGCAGACGUCCCAGUCCACAGCAGAGCAGCCUGGAGGCAGAGCGGAGCGAGAGGAGACGCAGCGGAGUCAACAUGCCAGGAGAGCAGCAGCACUGCAGCUGCUGAGCUCCCACAGCCGCACCGACGCCAGCCGAGGCUGCAGCAGCCAGGAGAGCGACUGUGGCCCCGAGAUGCAGCUGUCUGGGGAUUGUGACAUUAUGCCUGACGGACGACAGGAACACGGACAAUCAAUUAUCUAAACAGCUUCUCCAAGCACCUUUUGAAAGGCCAGAGCAAAUCCUCCUCCAUCCAACUGAGAUUCGGACACAUUUGUGGCAGAGAGGAGCAGAUAAGCCCUCCUCUGGGAUGGUGGCUCCUCCUCAGGCCCCCAGCCUCCUCCCCAUAACCCUGUUUCAUCGCUGGGAUGCAUUAACAGAUGACACGCUCAAAUGGUUCUUGAACUUUACAAGGUGACACUUGAGGGGCAGAAAGAUGUUUGCUGCGCCCGCAGCUCCGUCACCAGCUGGGAACCAAAUCCAGGAAAAACAAACGAUGUUGACGGACAAAUGUCAGCCUCCGUAAUAAGCCGACGCUCUUCCAGCUGAUUUAGCACCGAGCUUUUUUCCACUGAAGCACCUGUGCUUCACCUCACUGAGGCCAACCCUCGUCUGGCUGCUGCCAUAACAGUAUCCAGCGCUCCAGAUCCAGCACCAAGCACUUUUCACCUCCUCUCCUCCUUUUGCCUCUGGCCAAAAGGAGAGACAUGAUGCUAAAAGCCCAGGCUGGUCUGAACCCUCCUGUAACGGCAGCAGCACAGAGCAGAGGCCGACCGCCGUCUCUUUCUACUUUUAACUUUUAUCAAGCUGGACUUGUGAUCAUGGUGAAGCUGCUCACAAACAUGUGUGAAGCCAGUAAAUAAUUAAAGCCUUUUUAAAAACCCAGACCCGACAGGACGAUU
rnacentral:lncRNA from 1 species